AUAUAUAUAUAUAUAUAUAUAUAUAAUUCCUUUACACACAAAAUGCAUUGUAUAGGAGAACAUAUUUUUCUUUCUAAAUUUUACACUUUCAUUGUAUCUACAUUAACAAGAGGCAGCUAUUUACAAUCAUGUAUAGAAAAAAAACCAUCUCUCUAAUGAGUGCAAUCAGUUUCUCUCUACACAGAGAUGACAACUGAUCACAAGCUUAAACAAGAUUACAACAUUCACACAUGAAUACCUAUGUAUGCUAACAUCUGAUCACAAUCCUAUAUAUACUAGGUCUGGAUCACUACCUAUAUAUACUAGAUUUGUGCAUCUAACCUUUUUUUUCUUCUUCUUGAAAGUGAUACUUCUGGCUCAACAUUUUUGUUUUAUGUCACAGAAGAUUUACAAGUAUCAAGGGAAAUAAUUUUUGUUUUCAUUUCUGUCUUUUAGACAAAAGCUAUAGUCUGCUUCUGGACAUUUGUUGAUAUAGGGCCAAUAUAGAGAAUAGAAUCAAAAAAAGUCAAAAUGUUUAUACAUUUUAAGUGGAAAAUACAAAAAAAAAAAAGCUACAUUAUUGCUAAAAAAUUAAAGCUCGAUGCUUUAAAAAAAAACAACAGAAGAAAUAUAAAAUGUUUGCUAUCUACUUCAUGUAUUGACAAUAAUUAUUCCUGAUCUAAAACCUCUCUAAAUGAACAUAGGUUAGAAGACAUGCGCAUAGGCUAAGGUCAAGAGUUUGUUCUACCUACAGUAGUCCCUUAUUAACAUUUUCAGAGGAAAUGUACAAAACGAUAUCAGUACCAUUUUUUUUUUCAAUUUAAUAACAAAAACUAAAAAAAAUAUUCCAAUGCUCUAACAUACAAUGCAAUAUACCCAAUAACAUUUACCUGUUCACAACAAUGUAAAUAUUGUAACAUUUUCAUCAGACAAGGCGAACAUUGAGUUUACACAAGAAAAUGUAUUUAUAGGCAUGAAGAUGUCAUUUUGAUUGAGUCCAAAAGCAGUUUGUUAUCGGUAAAAGAACAAAAACAACAGCCCUAAAUCUGAGCUCUCUCUCUCUCUCUCUGUUGUCUUAUUAGCUUAAAGAAAUGAGGAUUGUUCUAGCCCCUUCCUCCUGCGAUUAACUUUCAUGUACUCAGGGUCGGUGUCUCGAACCUUCCUUACAAUAUUCCCUCUGCCCCCCCCCCCCCCCCCCCCCA